rnacentral:lncRNA from 1 species
GUACAAGAAUGCACGUACAAGAAUGUGCACGAGUGAAUAAGAGCAUGAAUAAGUACGUCGUAAUUUAUGCGUCCUUAGUCAGUUGUAUCAUGUAAAGCGUUUCUUCUUCAAAUACUCUUCUCGUGCUGUUAAAGAUCUGUUAAAACAGCCAGAAAGAAUAUGAAGUGCAAAUGGUAGCGAGAGUAAAAGGGCCGAGAAAAAGGAAAGCAAAGGGGCAAGGAAAAAAAUUCGGAACGGGCAAUGGCAAAUAUUGUACAUUUUGGUACCUAAUCUUGGGGAAAUCACUCAUUUAUUUUCUAUCUUUUUGGUAAAAAAUAGCUUUCUCAGCAAAACUAAGGCCCAUUUAGCGUCAUGGCAGCCAAACUACUGAUUUAACAGAUAAAAACGGCAUUUUUUGUGAAAUUUUGGCAGUCAAAGGGUUAAGAGACGCGUUUACUGAAUAUAACAAGACAAAUGGUUUGUUUCAGCAUCAGAUUCAAACAGCAUAGUGGUUUGACAUAACUUUUUGUUUCUCUAUAUCUUUUUUUACCUUUUUUUCCAAGUUCUGCUGAGUGAAAUUUUUGUAAAAGAAAUAUUAGUCUCCACGAAGGCAGCCUAUUUUUCCAGAAAGUACUUUUGGUGUUCUUUCAAACGAGAUUUGGUUAACUGCUCAGCUGUAAAUGCUUGAUGAGAUAUUACUUAUGUUAACUUUGUCCUUUAAAACUGUCUGGAAUAGGAUGAGUUAAAUAGAAAGUGUUGUUUUAUUUUAUUUAGUCGAUUGUUUGGAUCAUAUUCAUGAUAGGAAAACUAUGAGUGACAUAGUUUACAAAACAAGAGAUAAAAGUUUUAGUUCAUACAAUAAUGUUCAGUUGUUUUCAAUUAGCAGAAAUAAAAGAAAGCGGGGCACUUUUAGUGAUAACUAGUAGUAGUUGACUUAGGAAACAUAGAGGGAUUAGUAUGGCCAUGCGAGUUGCGGAAUAAUCAUUACUUAUCGUAAACGCUGUCGUGAUCGCGGUAUCACGUUUAUAUCACUCUUGUUUGUUGUCGGAAAGGAAUAUAUAACAAAUUUAUCUACGCGAUGUAAAAUUGAGUUGUGUUGUCCUUUUUAUUUAGCUCUGGAGUGAGUUUCUUAAACUCUCGGAUGGCACUCAUGGAUUUGAAGAGUACCGGAGAUAUUUAACAGAACAAUUUGUGAACCGAGCAAAAAGGAUGAAAGAAACCUACCUCGUUGAGAUAUUUUGUGAACUUAACCCGGAGGUACAUGACAGAGCCGUUGGAGAAUCCAUCACCAAGCUUGCGUUUGAAGCCGUGGCGAAGAUAGUACAGUCAAGACAGGGUGCAGACGUUGACGGUGUUUUCAAGAGCUUAAGAAGUUCCUAUCUGCGAGAUGACGCAGGAGUAGAAAAGCGCCGCCAACUUUUGUCAGUGUUACUUACAAAAUCCUGGCCAAAAACAUCUCAGUACGGGAACAGGUCUGGCUUGCAUCCUUGUACUGUGGAGUUUCUUCUCACCUGGAACCCGAUGGUUGAAUAUUUCCAUUUGUUUGGUAACUAAACAUGUUAUUUUCUUAUCUAAUACUGAGUCUUAAGUCGGUAUUGGUAAGUGCUCGCCCAACUACAAGGUAUUUUCUUAUUUGAGAAAUUUCCGUGUGUUUUGUUUAACAGUUUUAUGGUAAGCUGUUACGGCUAAUGACCUACCACAAAAGACCUAAAUAAAAUUAAAUCUGUAGUAAAUAAAUAAAUCAGCAAUUGCUGUAUGUUUAUUGGUUUGGCACGUUUUCUCAAGGCGACAUGACGGAAGCGAAGAACACUCAGGAUGUUACCUAUCUAAGUUUAUGGAGGAAAAGGUUCAGAUUCGCUAUUUACGCUACAACAUUGAAUUUCAACAAAUUCAUCACCGAUUGGAAUGUGGUUACUGGUCACCGAUUGUACAUCAUAAUACUCGUCUCGAUAUAACAAUGUAAAUGCCCUUUAUUUAUUUCGAUGACAGCAAUUUUAAAGCUCACAAAUCUAAAAGAUCAGCUUAAAAUUCAAAACGAGGCCUGUCUGCCUAUAUGCGCUGGCGCCCCUUAGCAACGUUGCCAUUUUGCUUCGCACAACAUGGCAGCAACGGGUGAAGAUUCUUCGGCAGCUGAGAUCCAGGUAAUCGAGAAGAGUCCUAAGUCAUCUCAAUUCUCAAGGUAAAUCUUUUAUUUCUGAGAGAUAAAGCAGAGGUUAAUGUCGAGGAAAAGGUUGUUGUUAUUCAUCGUGGUAGAU